rnacentral:misc_RNA from 1 species
AAGUCGUAACAAGGUUUCCAGUAGGUGGAACCUGGGCGGAAGGAAUACAUUGACGAAGUGAGGGCUACCGAACCGCAGUGGAAACAGCGGGUUUAGGGAGCUUACACCCACCCGUGUUUACAUACUAUUGUUGCUUUGGCGGGCCGUGGCCUCCACUGCGGGCUCUGCUCGUGUGUGCCCGCCAGAGGACCAAACUCUGAAUGUUAGUGAUGUCUGAGUACUAUCUAAUAGUUAAAA